GGAUCAUUAAUGAGGGCGUGUGGGCUAAUAUCCCCGCGAACCCUAAUCCUCUGUUUACUGCCCCACUGUGGUUUUUACUUGGGCGCGGUUGGGCUUUUUUUUCUUCUUUUUUUUUUUUUUUUAAAAAAAAAAAAAAGGGAAAAAGCUGCUCUUGUGAUAUGCCCAAAAGGCUGCCMCAAAUUYCCUUCCCCCCACCCAAAAAAAAAAAAACGAAACAAACAAAAAAAAAAAUCUGAUAACAAAAUAUUGAUGUCUGAAGUAAAAUCUAAACAAGCAAAACUUUCAACAACGGAUCUCUUGGUUCCGGCAUCGAUGAAGAACGCAGCGAAAUGCGAUAAGUAAUGUGGACCGCAGUACUCAGCGACUCAUCGAAUCUUUGAACGCACAUUGCGCCACUUGGUAUCACCAAAGGGCACACCUGUUCGAGCGUCAUCAUACAUCGUAUCAAGUCAAGGGCCCGCUUGCAAUUGGGCUUUGUCUGCUUUUAUGGUAGAAGUCUAAAAGUCAGUGACGGUUAAGUUAGGCAUUCCAGCAUAGUGAUUUAAAUUAGCUGUUGCAAUGUCUUUUACAUGACAGUCAAAAACAUCCAGGGUAUUUGCUGGCGGAGAACCCCCCAGGGUUUCCGUUGGCGGAGACCAUUGGAUUUUAUCAAUUAU
rnacentral:misc_RNA from 1 species